rnacentral:rRNA from 1 species
UACGUAGGUGGCAAGCGUUGUCCGGAUUUACUGGGUGUAAAGGGUGCGCAGGCGGGAUAGCAAGUCAGCUGUGAAAACUACUGGCUUAACCUGUAGACUGCAGUUGAAACUGUUGCUCUUGAGUGGAGCAGAGGUAGGCGGAAUUCCGAGUGUAGCGGUGAAAUGCGUAGAUAUUCGGAGGAACUCCAGUGGCGAAGGCGGCCUACUGGGCUCUAACUGACGCUGAGGCACGAAAGCAUGGGGAGCAAGC